AACGAACGCUGGCGGCAUGCCUAACACAUGCAAGUCGAACGAGACCUUCGGGUCUAGUGGCGCACGGGUGCGUAACGCGUGGGAAUCUACCCUUGGGUUCGGAAUAACGGUUAGAAAUGACUGCUAAUACCGGAUGAUGACGUAAGUCCAAAGAUUUAUCGCCCAAGGAUGAGCCCGCGUAAGAUUAGCUUGUUGGUGGGGUAAUGGCCUACCAAGGCGACGAUCUUUGGCUGGUCUGAGAGGAUGAUCAGCCACACUGGGACUGAGACACGGCCCAGACUCCUACGGGAGGCAGCAGUGGGGAAUAUUGGACAAUGGGCGAAAGCCUGAUCCAGCAAUGCCGCGUGAGUGAUGAAGGCCUUAGGGUUGUAAAGCUCUCUUACCAGGGAUGAUAAUGACAGUACCUGGAGAAUAAGCUCCGGCUAACUCCGUGCCAGCCGCCGCCGUAA
rnacentral:rRNA from 1 species